rnacentral:rRNA from 1 species
AUUGAACGCUGGCGGCAGGCCUAACACAUGCAAGUCGAACGGUAACAGGAAGCAGCUUGCUGCUUCGCUGACGAGUGGCGGACGGGUGAGUAAUGUCCGGGAAACUGCCUGAUGGAGGGGGAUAACUACUGGAAACGGUAGCUAAUACCGCAUAACGUCGCAAGACCAAAGAGGGGGACCUUAGGGCCUCUUGCCAUCGGAUGUGCCCAGAUGGGAUUAGCUAGUAGGUGGGGUAACGGCUCACCUAGGCGACGAUCCCUAGCUGGUCUGAGAGGAUGACCAGCCACACUGGAACUGAGACACGGUCCAGACUCCUACGGGAGGCAGCAGUGGGGAAUAUUGCACAAUGGGCGCAAGCCUGAUGCAGCCAUGCCGCGUGUAUGAAGAAGGCCUUCGGGUUGUAAAGUACUUUCAGCGGGGAGGAAGGGAGUAAAGUUAAUACCUUUGCUCAUUGACGUUACCCGCAGAAGAAGCACCGGCUAACUCCGUG